UACAGAGGUGGCAAGCGUUGUUCGGAAUUACUGGGCGUAAAGGGCGCGUAGGCGGCCUUAUAAGUCUCGUGUGAAAGCCCUCGGCUUAACUGAGGAUCUGCACGGGAUACUGUAAGGCUCGAGUUCGGGAGAGGAGAGUGGAAUUCCGAGUGUAGAGGUGAAAUUCGUAGAUAUUCGGAGGAACACCAGUGGCGAAGGCGGCUCACUGGUCCGGUACUGACGCUGAGGUGCGAAAGCGUGGGGAGCAAACAGG
rnacentral:rRNA from 1 species